AAAGAAAAAGACUUUCGAGGCGUUUUGGCUGAUGAUUUGGCAGCAGAAUUGCCAUACUAUAGCUAUGUUGGCUAAUUUAUACGAAAAUGGAAAGAACAAAUGCUAUAAAUAUUGGCCUAAUAUUGACGACCCGAUCAACACGGCGACAUUUGUCAUCAACCUGAACUCUGAAAAACAGUACGCCUUCUAUGUCAUAAGGGUGAUUACGCUGAAACAUAGACACGAACGCAAAGAGCGGCAAAUAUCCCAGUUUCACUACACAAAAUGGCCUGACCACGACAUACCAGAUGU